AUACGGAGGGUGCAAGCGUUGUCCGGAUUUAUUGGGGUUAAAGGGUGCGUAGGCGGACUUGUAAGUCAGUGGUGAAAUACUUCAGCUUAACUGGAGAGGUGCCAUAGAAACUGCAGGUCUUGAGUGAAAUCGAAGUAGGCGGAAUUGAUGGUGUAGCGGUGAAAUGCAUAGAUAUCAUCAAGAACACCGAUAGCGAAGGCAGCUUACUUGGUUUCAACUGACGCUAAUGCACGAAAGCGUGGGGAGCGAACAGGAUUAGAAACCCGAGUAGUCC
rnacentral:rRNA from 1 species